rnacentral:lncRNA from 1 species
AUGUGUUCUCGUAUAACCAAAAGUUAUACGAUCAUCGCAAGACACACACAAUCACAAACACAAACAAAUAUGGGUAAGCUACCAUAACACAACCUAUAACAAUAAAAAAAAUGUACAAAAUAAGUAAGCACAACUUAAAAAUAAUACCAUUCAUCUACAAUGUUACUCAUACUCACAUAAUUGUUUAUAAACUAUGAACAUAAUCAACAUCCUCGUUAACUGUAAUGUGACUAUACCCUCCACGUCAUCAUUUCCCAUCACAUCG